GACGAACGCUGGCGGCGUGCUUAACACAUGCAAGUCGAACGGAAAGGCCCUGCUUGUGUGGUGUGCUCGAGUGCCGAACGGGUGAGUAACACGUGAGUAACCUGCCCUUGACUUUGGGAUAACUUCAGGUAACUGGGGCUACUACCGGAUAGGAUCUCCUCCUGCAUUGUGGGGGUUGGAAAGUUUCGGCGGUUGGGGAUGGACUCGCGGCUUAUCAGCUUGUUGGUGGGGUAGUGGCUUACCAAGGCAUUGACGGGUAGCCGGCCUGAGAGGGUGACCGGCCACAUGGGGACUGAGAUACGGCCCAGACUCCUACGGGAGGCAGCAGUGGGGAAUAUUGCACAAUGGGCGGAAGCCUGAUGCAGCAGCGCCGCGUGCGGGAUGCCGGCCUUCGGGUUGUAAACCGCUUUCGCCUGUGACGAAGCGUGAGUGACGGUAAUGGGUAAAGAAGCACCGGCUAACUACGUG
rnacentral:rRNA from 1 species